AAGAAGGAAGACAAAUGUUGCAGCCAAAUUCCAUACAAAAAAUAUUAAACUAAAACAAUGUCCUUAAAACUAUAUUCUGUAUGCUUAGAUUACCGUUUUUGAUUGAAUUAAACCGCAGCUGUAGCUUAUGGUAAGAGUUUUACUCAUUUUAUUUUUUAAAGCAACCGCAAAUGUCAGAGAGACUAAAUUUCAUCUUUUUUCUUGCUUUUUUGUCAUUAAUUCUAAUUGGCUCUUACGGCCAGAAUGACGAUGAGUUUUAUUGUGGCCCAAAUGGAGCCUGCAUACCCCAGAAAACUCCCUGUAACUAUGUUCGCGUUGGCACCAAUUGCUCCAGACCUUUAAAAUGUUGUCUUUACAUUGGAGGCUUGCUGUAGUAAAUUGAUUUGUUAAACAAAACAUUCAAUAAAAUGAUUUAACUGUGGAGGAA